GGUUUUCCAUAACUCUGAGGUGCGAAGUGGUUCUGACCUUUUGGUACAGAGAAGUCAUUGAUGCCCGGCUUCCAGGAAAAGCUGCUAGCCAUAACUUAUAGAGAACCGUACCGCAAACCGACACAGGUGGACAGGUAGAGAAUACUAAGGCGCUUGAGAGAACUCGGGUGAAGGAACUAGGCAAAAUGGUACCGUAACUUCGGGAGAAGGUACGCCCUUUUGGGUGAGGGCAUUUACUGUCUGAGCUUAAGAGGGCCGCAGAGACCAGGUGGCUGCGACUGUUUAUUAAAAACACAGCACUCUGCAAAUUCGUAAGAAGACGUAUAGGGUGUGACGCCUGCCCGGUGCCGGAAGGUUAAUUGAUGGGGUUAUCUUCGGAGAAGCUCUUGAUCGAAGCCCCGGUAAACGGCGGCCGUAACUAUAACGGUCCUAAGGUAGCGAAAUUCCUUGUCGGGUAAGUUCCGACCUGCACGAAUGGCGUAACGAUGGCCACACUGUCUCCACCCGAGACUCAGUGAAAUUGAAAUCGCUGUGAAGAUGCAGUGUACCCGCGGCUAGACGGAAAGACCCCGUGAACCUUUACUAUAGUUUUGCACUGGACUUUGAUGAUGACUGUGUAGGAUAGGUGGGAGGCUGUGAAGUGAGGACGCUAGUUCUCAUGGAGCCGCCCUUGAAAUACCACCCUGUUGUUAUUGAGGUUCUAACUUGGUCCAGUAAUCCUGGAUGAGGACAGUGUAUGAUGGGUAGUUUGACUGGGGCGGUCUCCUCCCAAAGAGUAACGGAGGAGCACAAAGGUACCCUCGGUACGGUCGGACAUCGUACCAAGAGUGUAAAGGCAAAAGGGUGCUUGACUGCGAGAGUGACGGCUCGAGCAGGAACGAAAGUUGGUCUUAGUGAUCCGGUGGUUCUGAAUGGAAGGGCCAUCGCUCAACGGAUAAAAGGUACUCCGGGGAUAACAGGCUGAUACCGCCCAAGAGUUCAUAUCGACGGCGGUGUUUGGCACCUCGAUGUCGGCUCAUCACAUCCUGGGGCUGAAGCAGGUCCCAAGGGUAUGGCUGUUCGCCAUUUAAAGUGGUACGCGAGCUGGGUUUAGAACGUCGUGAGACAGUUCGGUCCCUAUCUGCCGUGGGCGUAGGAAAAUUGAGAGGAGCUGCUCCUAGUACGAGAGGACCGGAGUGGACGAACCUCUGGUGCACCGGUUGUCACGCCAGUGGCAUGGCCGGGUAGCUAAGUUCGGACGGGAUAACCGCUGAAAGCAUCUAAGCGGGAAGCCUCCCUCAAGAUGAGUUUUCCCAUGAAGCCCGUUGAAGACUACGACGUUGAUAGGCAAGGUGUGGAAGCGCAGUAAUGCGUGAAGCUAACUUGUACUAAUUGGCUGAUUGUCUUGACCAUAUAAUCUGAG
rnacentral:rRNA from 1 species